GAACCUGAGAGUUUGAUCCUGGCUCAGAACGAACGCUGGCGGCAUGCCUAACACAUGCAAGUCGAACGAAGGCUUCGGCCUUAGUGGCGCA
rnacentral:rRNA from 1 species